CAAUAGCGUAUAUUUAAGUUGUUGCAGUUAAAAAGCUCGCAGUUGGAUUUCGGGUGGGACGCAGCGGUCUCGCAUUGCGUUUGUACUGCUGCAGCCCUCCUUCUUGCCGGGGGCGGCCUCUCGGACUUCACUGUCUGGGGGUCAGAAUCGGCGAUGUUACUUUGAGUAAAUUAGAGUGUUCAAAGCAAGCUUACGCUCUGAAUAUAAUAGCAUGGGAUAACACGACAGGACUCUGGCCUAUCGUGUUGGUCUAUAGGACCAGAGUAAUGAUUAAGAGGGACAGUCGGGGGCAUUCGUAUUCCGUUGUCAGAGGUGAAAUUCUUGGAUUUACGGAAGACGAACAUCUGCGAAAGCAUUUGCCAAGGAUGUUUNCAUUG
rnacentral:rRNA from 1 species